GCGUCCUCUGGUGGGAGGGGGGAGGGCACAGAGCAGCAGUUCUGCAGGGCUCUCAGAGGCCUGCCCUGAGCUCCCGCCUCCUCCUUCUCAGCCUCCC
ensembl:miRNA